rnacentral:rRNA from 1 species
UACGGAGGGUGCGAGCGUUGUCCGGAAUCACUGGGCGUAAAGGGCGCGUAGGUGGCGGCUUAAGCGUGCAGUGAAAGCUCGGGGCUCAACCCCGAGUCGGCCGUGCGAACUGAGUCGCUUGAGCACUGUAGAGGCAGGCGGAAUUCCGGGUGUAGCGGUGGAAUGCGUAGAGAUCCGGAAGAACACCGGUGGCGAAGGCGGCCUGCUGGGCAGUAGCUGACACUGAGGCGCGACAGCGUGGGGAGCAAACAGG